AGCCUGUACUGGACGGCCGCUGUGAGGGCUUCGGCCCGCAUAGAGGAAAGUCCGAACACAUCCUCGCGGCUUUGGUCGCGAGGAGCAGGUAGCGGGUAAAACUCCCGCCCGAGGCAACUCGACGAGGUGCGAACAGAGACGCUUCUGCUUGAAAAGGCGGAGGCGCCCCGGCCGCCAUAGGCGGCCGGGGCGAGCCGGACGGCAACGUCUGGAGUGCAACGACUAAACCCUUACCCAUGUGCAAGACCGCGCUUUCGGCGAGCGAUCGCCGAGAGAGAGUCGCUUGAGACCGAUGGCGACAUCGGCCCCAGAUAAAUGGCCGCCCAAUCCGGCGCACGCCGGACGGACAGAAUUCGGCUUACAGGUACAGACAAAAU
rnacentral:RNase_P_RNA from 1 species